CUCUAUUUCUCCAUCCGGUCAGGAUUUUAGGCAUGCAGGUGAGCACGGUGCCGCCUCUUCUUGGCCGUCCCGUCUAAGGAAAUCGGAAACCGUACAUGCUGAUGGUGGAUCUCAAACCCUGGUCCUUUGUCCUGUUUUUAUCUAGCUUUCAGGCUCCAGAACCCUUUGUGAUUUACCUACUCCCCUUCCCCUCAGUUCUUCAGUGCCGCUAGCCUUUCCAUUAUCUACUGUAUUUUUCAUCUACGUUUAUUUGGCUCUGUUCAGAAUUUGAGAUCGAAAUUAAAAACAAAGUGAAGAAA